CCCGCGCUUCACGCCGACCCUAAGCGUUGAGGACGCCGAUUCCGGAUCCGGAGCGGGUGUCGUGCUCCUGCGCGGUGGGACACUCCGGGCGCACGAGCGCUCCAGACGUUGCAAGCAUCCUCACCCCUCAUUCCGAUUGACGGCCGCACGGUCGUGUCCCACUCUGCCAUAACAAGGGGCGUUGUUGCACAAU
rnacentral:misc_RNA from 1 species